rnacentral:siRNA from 1 species
GGGUUUUGAGCAACGGUAGGACAA